rnacentral:rRNA from 1 species
GAUGAACGCUGGCGGCGUGCCUAAUACAUGCAAGUCGAGCGAACAGACGAGGAGCUUGCUCCUCUGACGUUAGCGGCGGACGGGUGAGUAACACGUGUAUAACCUACUUAUAAGACGGGGAUAACUUCGGGAAACCGGAGCUAAUACCGUAUAAUAUACUGAACCGCAUGGUUCAAUAGUGAAAGACGGUUUUGCGGUCACUUAUAGAUGGAUCUGGGCCGCAUUAGGUAGUUGGUAAGGUAACGGCUUACGAAGGCUACGAUGCGUAGCCGACGUGAGAGAGUGGUCGGCCACACUAGAACUGGGACACGGACCAGGGUACUGCGGGAGGGAGCAGUCGGGUAUGUUACGCAGUAGGCGAAAGCAUGGCAGAGCAACGCGGAGUGAGUGAUGAAAGUGUCCCGAUCGUGAAGCUGUGUUAUUAGGGGAGAACAGAUGUGUAAGUAGAUAAGCAGGUCUUGACGGUAACUAGUCAGGAAGCCCCGGCUAACUACGUG